GAAGAGAGCUUCAGUCAGUGGGAGAAUAAAAUAAUGUUUUUUGUUUUACAAGUUAGCAUGGGAAAAAUGACAAUUUGCAAUUGUCGCUACCAAGCUUUCUUCGUACUACACCAUUAAAGAAAUUUGAGGUUCUUCGAAGUCCAAUUCUUUAGCAACAUUGCAAAAGAGGGACAAGGGAAGAUGGGCACAAGAUUUUUCACAUCCUAAGCACCAAGUUUGGUUCGGACUAACAUUCAGAGACCCGGAAGUGCUUUUCAAUAUGGAAGAGUGCAAAGCAUGGGAAGCGACUGCCCUUAGGGAUCAAGAUAUUGUGAAUACUUUGACUUCAUUAGUUGGAUUAGGUAACCAUUACACAAUAUCUAUAUCCAGAAGAACAGUCUUGGAAGUGAACUGAAUUUCUUAUUGGUUUAUUGUGACUUCAGUACUGUCUCAUGUCAAUCAUGUCUCACUCUUCGGUGUUUAGUUUAUUUCCUUCAAGAAGUACUUUAUUUAUCUUUGUCCAUCCUCCUCUGUCUUAGACAAAGUAUGUUUUUAAAUUCUCUUCCCUUCAUUUCCUUCUCGCUGUGGUGGUGGUAUUACUUCUAAUUGAUGCUUGUUUCCAUGAAUAACCCCUAUCCAGCACAAGAAACAAUUCCCACUUUACAAGAAAAUUCCGAGGGCCAGCACUUGGACAUAUGAGCAAGGAUUCUGAAUUGCCAAGGAAAUCUCUUACAAGGCUCUUUAGGUUAGUAGCAGAACCAGUGUUUGAAAUAGUAUGCAUGAAGAAUGGAGUUGGAUGCAACAGUGAAGAAUUUUAUAGCGAUAAUGAUCUGAAAGAUGACCUCCAAAUUUCAUUCUUUAUAGCCUUAUGUUUACAUUGAAGAGAGGAAGUUGAGCUUUUAGGGAUGGUUUUGAUGGAGUAAGGGAGUGGGAUUGUCCUGGUCAAUGAUUUGCCCAUUACAAGCCAGCCUACUAUUGAGCAGCUACCAGAUUGAAUCUAGUCCAAAAGGGUUGAGAAAGAUGGGCUGGCCGGUUGGCCAAGGAUGACCCAAAAAGUCAAAAACCUCGUUGGCCCUCAAUGGUACUAUAAUGAGCUGGUGGAGAAUUUGGAAAUUAGCUACUCCAGGAUGUGAGUCUGUGGAUAUCUCAAAGAUGAAGCUAUGGAUACUUGUAUGCAUUCUGUUGCCUUGGUGUUAAAUGUGUUGUUUGUCAAGCCUGAAAAUUGUGAGCAGAUCGCCUUUAAAAUUAGUAGAGAAAUGAAGAGAAAAACCUUGUAAUGACCAGAAAGUUUCUGUAUAUUGGCUUUAAAAAGAUUACAUUGUGUACGUGUAUUUAUAGGUAAGAAUCUACAACCUAGAAGGAAAGGCCAGACCAAUCCCUAUAAUCAGUUUUUAAUUGAUACAAAUCAAAUCUCCAGAAUCAUGGGGGAGAUGAGCUGAGAAUCUGGUGCUGAAAUCAAGGCUAAUCAAGGCAGCCAAUCAAGUCUGGGAAUCACUGAACAAGAAAGAACUCGAAGAGGAGUAUUUUGUAGUAACUAAUUCUAGCUUUAAAGGCUUGGCUAUAAUUUCCUUUGUUAUGCUUUCAGUCGUGGUAAGACAUAAAGUAUUUUCAAUUGCUAAAGUUCAUAU